rnacentral:lncRNA from 1 species
GAAGAUUCCAACUUCCUGGGCAGAGGGUCAUGUAGUGGAAUAGAGCUGUACCUGGCUUCAGGCGAGACUUGGAGCUCAAAACUUUCAGUAGGACAGCCAGGCGCGGUGGCUGAUGCCUGUAAUCCCAGCACUUUGGGAGGCCGAGACAGAUUCUUGUGCUGUCACUCAGGCUGGAGUGCAACGUUGAAAUCUCGGCUCACUGCAACUUCUGCCUCCCGGAUUCAGGCAAUUCUUGUGUCUCAGCCUCCUAAGAAGCUGAGAUUACAGCAACUCCAAAAUGGAAGUACUAUUGUUAUCUCCGUUUACAAAUUAGGAAACUGAGGCACAGAUAUGCUCUUGGGUACUUGUCAGCAGCAGUUGUUCUACAAGCUAAAUAUCUGGAUAUCUUAAAUCUCAGAUGAGCGUCUUAGCCUCUGGAUUACUGCUCAAUGAGGAAAGCUAUGAAAUGCAUGGAUAACUUGCUAAUCAGUAUUUGCCAUAUGUGCUAGCAGCAUCAGCAUCAGUUGGGAGAUUAUGGUGGCCUCCAUGUCAGACCUCCUAAAUCGGAAUAUCAGAGAAGGUGGCCCAGGUUACCAUGCUUCAUCUGCCAAUGCAUUGAAAACUUGGAAUGUAAAUUAAUUCAACCAUUGUGGAAGAUGGUGUAGUGAUUCCUCAAAGACCUAGAAGCAGAAAUAUCAUUUGAUCCAGAAAUCCCAUUACUGUGUAUACACCCAAAGGAAUAUAAACCAUUCUAUUACAAAGAUA